ensembl:lncRNA
CAAACAGAGCAACACUAAACAAAGACAAAAUAGACACAGCUGCCAGGGCAGAACCCUGACACAGCAUGUUUGAAAGCACAGAUGAAAAGAUUUGUCAUAAAAUAACAAUAGCAUUAGCCACAAUGCUAACGGCAUUGCUAAUUAAGCCAAGAAGUGCUGUCGCUACCAUUUUAGUGAGUUAAUAUGCAACCUGUUUCUUGCUGAUUGUGAUGUUACUGAGAAUACAGCUAUUAGAAGGUUCACCCAGGUCUGUGGGCCAGGACAAGUCAACUAGUCUUACACCCAGGUCUGCGGGCCGCGACAGGUCAACUAGUCGAACAGCCAGGUCUGUGGGCCAUGACAGGUCAACUAGUGGUUCAUCCAGGACCAUGGGCCAGGACAGUUCAAUUAGUGGUGUACCCAGGUCCCAGGCUGUGGAGAGCAGGUCCAUAGAUGGUCUUUCACAUGCAAGGUCCAUUUAUAAUAGGGCUGUGCCAACCACAUUCCCCCGUCAGAAGCGAAAAAAAUUCCAGAAAAUAGUGCUAACAAAGCUGGUGACUCUCACUGAUGAGGUCAAAAAAUUCCAGAGGAGCCUACCUAACUCUCGGAUUGAGAUAAGCAAGAUUGACACCUUGGAAGAGUUCGAGAAGGAGGAGGCUUCUCUUCUGGAGAAAAACAAAUUUGAAACCUUGGCUCUUCACCAAUCAGCUGAUGGCCCUAUUUAAUAUGAGGGGA